UUGAACGCUGGCGGUAUGCUUAACACAUGCAAGUCGAACGGAAACGAUACUAGCUUGCUAGUAGGCGUCGAGUGGCGGACGGGUGAGUAACGCGUAGGAAUCUGCCUGAUAGUGGGGGAUAGCCCGAAGAAAUUCGGAUUAAUACCGCAUAAUCUAUUCGUAGUAAAGUGGGGGACUUUCGAGCCUCACGCUAUCAGAUGAGCCUGCGUAAGAUUAGCUUGUUGGUAGGGUAAAAGCCUACCAAGGCGACGAUCUUUAGCUGGUCUGAGAGGAUGAUCAGCCACAUCGGGACUGAGACACGGCCCGAACUCCUACGGGAGGCAGCAGUGGGGAAUAUUGGACAAUGGGGGCAACCCUGAUCCAGCAAUACCGCGUGUGUGAAGAAGGCCUGAGGGUUGUAAAGCACUUUCAAUUGUGAAGAAAAGUUAGCGGUUAAUAACCGUUAGCCUUGACGUUAACUUUAGAAGAAGCACCGGCUAACUCCGUGCCAGCAGCCGCGGUAAUACGGAGGGUGCAAGCGUUAAUCGGAAUUACUGGGCGUAAAGCGUGCGUAGGCGGUUUAUUAAGUCAGAUGUGAAAGCCCCGGGCUUAACCUGGGAACUGCAUUUGAAACUGGUCAACUAGAGUAUGGUAGAGGAAAGUGGAAUUUCUGGUGUAGCGGUGAAAUGCGUAGAUAUCAGAAGGAACAUCAAUGGCGAAAGGCAGCUUUCUGGACCAAUACUGACGCUGAGGUACGAAAGCGUGGGUAGCAAACAGGAUUAGAUACCCUGGUAGUCCACGCCGUAAACGAUGAUAACUAGCCGUUGGGGGGAUUUACCCCUUAGUGGCGAAGCUAACGCGUUAAGUUAUCCGCCUGGGGAGUACGGCCGCAAGGUUAAAACUCAAAGGAAUUGACGGGGACCCGCACAAGCGGUGGAGCAUGUGGUUUAAUUCGAUGCAACGCGAAGAACCUUACCUGGUCUUGACAUCCUGCGAACUUUCUAGAAAUAGAUUGGUGCCUUCGGGAACGCAGUGACAGGUGCUGCAUGGCUGUCGUCAGCUCGUGUCGUGAGAUGUUGGGUUAAGUCCCGUAACGAGCGCAACCCCUAUCCUUAUUUGCCAGCACAUCAUGGUGGGAACUAUAAGGAGACUGCCGGUGAUAAACCGGAGGAAGGCGGGGACGACGUCAAGUCAUCAUGGCCCUUACGACCAGGGCUACACACGUGCUACAAUGGGAAGGACAAAGAGCCGCGAAGCCGCGAGGUGUAGCUAAUCUCAUAAACCUUUUCGUAGUCCGGAUUGGAGUCUGCAACUCGACUCCAUGAAGUCGGAAUCGCUAGUAAUCGUAGAUCAGAAUGCUACGGUGAAUACGUUCCCGGGUCUUGUACACACCGCC
rnacentral:rRNA from 1 species